rnacentral:rRNA from 1 species
GCUAAACCUCUAGCCCCCACAUUUUACCAAACUUUAACCACAAGAAAACAAACCAUUUGACACGAUUAGUAAAGGCGAUUAAACCUCGCAUAGGAGCAAAAGACACAGUACCGCAAGGGAAACAUGAAAAAUCAGUGAAACACUACUAAGCCAAAUAAAGCAGAGAUUCACCCUUGUACCUAUUGCAUCAUGGUCUAGCAAGAACUACACAGACACGGCGUCCCAGCCUGUGCCCCCGAAAUCAAGUGAGCUACCCUAGAGCAACCUAUUUUAGGGUUCACCCGUCCCUGUAGCAAAAGGGUGGGAAGACUCCAGGGUAGCGGUGAAAAGCCUACCGAACUUGCUGAUAGCUGGUUGCCUGACAAUGAACCUAAGUUCAGCCUUAAAUUCCUAAAACACACCAUAGUAAAAACUUAAUUUAAGACUUAGUCAUUAGGGGUACAGCCCUAAUGAGCCGGGAUACAGCCCGAAGUAAAGAGCUAGCAUCAUACUAUACACCAGUAGGCCUUAAAGCAGCCAUCAAAAAAUUGCGUCACAGCACACACCAAAAAAUUACACACACACAAACAACCUCUUACAACCAUCUCAGCGCCAAUCUAUAAAAAUAUAGAAGAACUUAUGCUAGAACUAGUAACAAGAAACCAUCUCUGAGCACAACUGUAAAUCAGCCACAGAACAACUACUGAAAAUUAACAGCUCCAUACACAACUUAAUGAGUAUAAAUUACUACUGUUAAUCCGACACAGGAGUGCUAAAAAGAAAGACUCAAAGUUAGAGAAGGAACUCGGCAAACCAGUAUCCCAACUGUUUACCAAAAACAUAGCCUUUAGCAAUUCAAGUAUUAAAGGUAACGCCUGCCCAGUGAACCAUUUUAAACGGCCGCGGUAUCCUAACCGUGCAAAGGUAGCGUAAUCACUUGUCCCUUAAAUAGGGACCAGUAUGAACGGCUAAAUGAGGAUAAACCUGUCUCCUUUAACAAAUCAGUGAAACUGAUCUACCAGUACAAAAGCUGGUAUAAACCCAUAAGACGAGAAGACCCUGUGGAGCUUUAAACUUUAACCAAGCAACUAACACAAGCUCAGCCAAUGGCUAAAAAUUUUAAGUUGGGGCGACUUCGGAAAUAAACCAAACUUCCGAGCAUAAGACAUACAUCUUACCAAGACCUACAAGUCAAAGCUAAAAUUGACCCAGUACUACUGAUAACCGAACCAAGUUACCCCAGGGAUAACAGCGCAAUCUUCUUCAAGAGUCCCUAUCGACAAGAAGGUUUACGACCUCGAUGUUGGAUCAGGACACCCCAAUGGUGCAGCCGCUAUUAAAGGUUCGUUUGUUCAACGAUUAACAGUCCUACGUGAUCUGAGUUCAGACCGGAGCAAUCCAGGUCGGUUUCUAUCUAUGCAGUUGUUUUCUUUAGUACGAAAGGACCAAGAAAACAGGACCGCUGUCAGCGACACGUCCUAAACACAAGGCUGAACACAACUAAAGCCAAAUAACACACAUACAGCCCGUAGAUUAACGGGGUCUUA